AUCGCUUCUCGGCCUAUCGGCUAAGAACAAAUAAAAUCUGUUCUUAUCAGCUUAACUGAUUCCAUCUUACACGUUUCUUUAUUCCUUUUUUUUCAUUUUUU